GAUCCUGGCUCAGGACGAACGCUGGCGGCGCGCCUAACACAUGCAAGUCGAACGAGCGAGAGAGAGCUUGCUUCCUCGAGCGAGUGGCGAACGGGUGAGUAACGCGUGAGGAACCUACCUCAAAGAGGGGGACAACAGUUGGAAACGACUGCUAAUACCGCAUAAGCCCACGACCCGGCAUCGGGAAGAGGGAAAAGGAGCAAUCCGCUUUGAGAUGGCCUCGCGUCCGAUUAGCUAGUUGGUG
rnacentral:rRNA from 1 species